rnacentral:rRNA from 1 species
AGUGAACGCUGGCGGUAGGCCUAACACAUGCAAGUCGAACGGCAGCACAGUAAGAGCUUGCUCUUACGGGUGGCGAGUGGCGGACGGGUGAGGAAUACAUCGGAAUCUACUUUUUCGUGGGGGAUAACGUAGGGAAACUUACGCUAAUACCGCAUACGACCUACGGGUGAAAGCAGGGGAUCUUCGGACCUUGCGCGAUUGAAUGAGCCGAUGUCGGAUUAGCUAGUUGGCAGGGUAAAGGCCCACCAAGGCGACGAUCCGUAGCUGAUCUGAGAGGAUGACAGGCCACAGUGGAAUGGAGACAAGGUCCAGACGCCGACGGGAGGCAGCAGUAGGGAAUCUUCAGCAAUGGGAGGAAGCCGGACGGCGCAACGCCGCGAGAGGGAUGAAGGUCUUCGGAUCGUAAAACUCUGUGAUGAGGGAAGAACAAAUGUGUAAGUAACUAUGCACGUCUUGACGGUACCUAAUCAGAAAACCACGGCUAACUACGUG